GAUGAACGCUGGCGGCGUGCCUAAUACAUGCAAGUCGAACGGGGAGUAGCAAUACUCUUAGUGGCGAACGGGUGAGUAACGCGUUGGUACCUGCCCCGAAGCGGGGGAUAACGGACCGAAAGGUCCGCUAAUACCCCAUGUGCUCGGUAACGAGUAAAGGUGAAAACCACUUUGGGAGGGGCCUGCGUCCCAUCAGCUAGUUGGUAAGGUAACGGCUUACCAAGGCGAUGACGGGUAGGGGACCUGAGAGGGUGGCCCCCCACAAUGGAACUGAAACACGGUCCAUACACCUACGGGAGGCAGCAGUAGGGAAUAUUGGUAAUGGGCGCAAGCCUGAACCAGCAACGCCGCGUGUGCGAUGACGGCCUUCGGGUUGUAAAGCACUUUUGACUGGGACGAGGAAGGACGGUACCGGUCGAAUCAGCCUCGGCUAACUACGUG
rnacentral:rRNA from 1 species